rnacentral:rRNA from 1 species
GACGAACGCUGGCGGCGUGCUUAACACAUGCAAGUCGAACGGAAAGGCCCUGCUUUUGUGGGGUGCUCGAGUGGCGAACGGGUGAGUAACACGUGAGUAACCUGCCCUUGACUUUGGGAUAACUUCAGGAAACUGGGGCUAAUACCGGAUAGGAGCUCCUGCUGCAUGGGGGGGGUUGGAAAGUUUCGGCGGUUGGGGAUGGACUCGCGGCUUAUCAGCUUGUUGGUGGGGUAGUGGCUUACCAAGGCUUUGACGGGUAGCCGGCCUGAGAGGGUGAACGGCCACAUUGGGACUGAGAUACGGCCCAGACUGCUACGGGAGGCAGCAGUGGGGAAUAUUGCACAAUGGGCGGAAGCCUGAUGCAGAAACGCCGCGUGCGGGAUGAAGGCCUUCGGGUUGUAAACCGCUUUCGCCUGUGACGAAGCGUGAGUGACGGUAAUGGGUAAAGAAGCACCGGCUAACUACGUG